rnacentral:rRNA from 1 species
UACGUAGGGGGCAAGCGUUGUCCGGAUUUAUUGGGCGUAAAGAGCGUGUAGGCGGCUAGAUAGGUCCGUUGUGAAAACUCGAGGCUCAACCUCGAGACGUCGAUGGAAACCAUCUAGCUAGAGUCCGGAAGAGGAGAGUGGAAUUCCUGGUGUAGCGGUGAAAUGCGCAGAUAUCAGGAGGAACACCGGUGGCGAAGGCGGGUCUCUGGGAAGUAACUGACGCUGAGAAGCGAAAGCGUGGGUAGCGAACAGG